GUGCUGUGCAGUAUGGGGAACCAGAUUUUCUGGAAAGCUGAUGAUCCCUGUGGUGUGGAGAGAAUCAUGACUUGGUGCAGGUAGAAUUGAGAGGUACAUGGUGUUAUGCUUCCAAGGGGACUGCAGCUGCUCAUGAGGGCCAUGUCACCUGGAAAAGUCUGCUCCUCAGGGGUGAUGGGACUGCUGUGUUGCUGUAAUGACUGAAGCAGUUGCCCUUCAUAUUCUUCUCCAGAACCUGUGUGGAUGAACAGUCAACUUAGCUGUGCAAUGGGGUCAUUCUGCUCUUUCUGAAUGAAUUGUCAAAGAGCUAAUGUCUCUCCCCUAAACAUAAGAGAAGCAACCUUGCUUACAUGAGUUAUGUUUAAAAUGUUAGCAGAUGUAGUUUUUAAUAUGUCAAACAUGGAUGUCCUGUUGCAAAUUGCAAGUCUCAUGGAAGUAACCCGUGUUUAUGCUGUAGGUAUUCUUUCCACAGGUCAGGCAUAAUUUGUGUUAAACAUUUAAUGGUUUAGGAUCACUUCUGUUUUUCUAGAUGGUGGUUACAGUUAACACAAACUCAACUUUGCUAUUAAGUUUUUCAAUAUAAAAAAAAAUAUAGAAAUGAGCUUGGCAGAAAAGAACCUGCGAAAUAAAGCAGAAGUAGAACGCAUGUAAGCAGAAACACAAAGAACAAGUGCUGCUGGACCCUGGCAUCCUUGUCUUCUAAGAUAUAUUUUUGUGAUGAAUUGAAAGGCUUUUUUCCUGCCUCUGGUGAAUGGCACAUAUGUACUACCUGAAGAAGAAAAUGUGGAGAGAGCAGCAGGCAGUAAGACAGUUUUUUAGAUCUACCCUUUGAUUCCAAUUCCUCCUGGUGGGUCUGUGCUACUUGAAGUACAAAGAAAGCUCAUCUUGGACUACCUGUUUGUUUGUUCACCUGUUGUUUAGCUUGAAAGAGACAGGCUAGAUGUGAAAUUCCAGCAAAGCUCCACUUGCUGUAGUGGCCAGAAUGAUAAGCAUCUGAAGCUGUUUAUUGCCCUUUUGUUUACAAUCUUAACCUCAGUUGCUUGUGACUCCAAAUAAUCAUACAUCAGGCUUGCAUUUUCUAGGUCCUUGCUUAAGGUUUUUUAAAUGUUUUCUGUAGUUCAAAUUUAAUUGGAGGGUCUGUUCCAGGAAAUAUUUUCCCAUUGUAUAGACUUGUUUAAAAGUUCCCUUGCCAGAAUAGUUGUGGUGAAAGAAGGAAAAUGAAGAUAAUAGCCACGACUAGGGUGCAAGUAUGCUUAUGCCAAGCAGAGCGGUUGCUUUUUGGUGUUUGUUCUCCAGAGGUCUGGUUCAGUACUGUCUGCUCAUUGUUGCUGCUGAUGGCUUGUCCUUCAGGGUUCAGCCUGGCUGGCAGCCCAAUGGGCUUGUGUUGGUUAGAUUUGGUUAAAGGUUGAGUAGAUAGUCUUUACUGAUGGACUGGGGCAGGGGGUUGUGGUGAUACAGAACCCUGGUGGUUAACUUAAGUGUCAGACCUCAAUGGUAUUUGAUGAAGAGGUGGAAAAUCCCACUCCUGCUGCGGAUAACUUGUCUGCAAUCACAUGCUGGCUGAGCAGGAUUCUUGUUGCACACUUUGUUAGCUCUGAUCCAUGAAUCCUUUCCAGUCAGCAAGGCCUUGUUCCCAAACCUUGUCCCUGCUGCCAUAACCUGGUAAGAUUUUACUCUUCCAAGCCCCAGAUGCUAUUUUUAUAGUCCCGUGUUCAACUCUUGCAACUGCCUACUGUGAACA